rnacentral:rRNA from 1 species
UACAGAGGUCUCAAGCGUUUGUUCGGAUUCAUUGGGCGUAAAGGGUGCGUAGGUGGCGCGGUAAGUCGGGUGUGAAAUUUCGGAGCUUAACUCCGAAACUGCAUUCGAUACUGCCGUGCUUGAGGACUGGAGAGGAGACUGGAAUUUACGGUGUAGCAGUGAAAUGCGUAGAUAUCGUAAGGAAGACCAGUGGCGAAGGCGGGUCUCUGGACAGUUCCUGACAGCUGAGGCACGAAGGCCCAGGGGAGCAAAACGGG